rnacentral:rRNA from 1 species
AGUAACACGUGGAUAACCUACCUAUAAGACUGGGAUAACUUCGGGAAACCGGAGCUAAUACCGGAUAAUAUUUUGAACCGCAUGGUUCAAAAGUGAAAGACGGUCUUGCUGUCACUUAUAGAUGGAUCCGCGCUGCAUUAGCUAGUUGGUAAGGUAACGGCUUACCAAGGCAACGAUGCAUAGCCGACCUGAGAGGGUGAUCGGCCACACUGGAGCUGAGACACGGUCCAG